UACGGAGGGGGUUAGCGUUGUUCGGAAUUACUGGGCGUAAAGCGCGCGUAGGCGGACUAUUAAGUCAGGGGUGAAAUCCCGGGGCUCAACCCCGGAACUGCCUUUGAUACUGGUAGUCUUGAGUUCGAGAGAGGUGAGUGGAACUCCGAGUGUAGAGGUGAAAUUCGUAGAUAUUCGGAAGAACACCAGUGGCGAAGGCGGCUCACUGGCUCGAUACUGACGCUGAGGUGCGAAAAGUGUGGGGGAGCAAAACAGGAUUAGAUACCCCCGGUAGUC
rnacentral:rRNA from 1 species